GACGAACGCUGGCGGCGUGCUUAACACAUGCAAGUCGAACGGAAAGGCCCUGCUUUUGUGGGGUGCUCGAGUGGCGAACGGGUGAGUAACACGUGAGUAACCUGCCCUUGACUUUGGGAUAACUUCAGGAAACUGCGGCUAAUACCGGAUAGGAGCUCCUGCUGCAUGGUGGGGGUUGGAAAGUUUCGGCGGUUGGGGAUGGACUCGCGGCUUAUCAGCUUGUUGGUGAGGUAGUGGCUUACCAAGGCUUUGACGGGUAGCCGGCCUGAGAGGGUGACCGGCCACAUUGGGACUGAGAUACGGCCCAGACUCCUACGGGAGGCAGCAGUGGGGAAUAUUGCACAAUGGGCGGAAGCCUGAUGCAGCAACGCCGCGUGCGGGAUGACGGCCUUCGGGUUGUAAACCGCUUUCGCCUGUGACGAAGCGUGAGUGACGGUAAUGGGUAAAGAAGCACCGGCUAACUACGUG
rnacentral:rRNA from 1 species